UUUUACCCUCCGUUUUUUCUCCUAUCGUUCUGCAAGCUUCUCAUACAUUUCUGCCCUCCCUUUUUUUCCCCCUACUGUUCUACAAGUUUCCCUAUUGUUCUACAAGCUUUUCGCAUUAGAUUGUUGCCGACGAAAUAAUCUAGAGAGAGAGAGAGAGAGAGUGUGUGUGUUUGUUCGUUUUGCAAGAAGAGAUAGACAGAUCGGUUGUUGCUGUGGUUGACAGUUGUAUGGGAGCUAGGCUCUUCGAUCUAAUCUUGUGUGUUCUGGAAGCCUACAUUGAGUGCAGCCAGAUACAAACGGUUCAUUCUACUUUUGGUUGGGUAGAGAGUGAGAGACUGUGAAAGGAGAAGAGGAGCAAUCGAUCUAGAUUCGUUUGGGUAGAGGUGCAGAGACGGAGAGAGAUUGUGGAAGGGGAAGAGCAGGAAUCGGUGUUGGUUUGGUCGGGAAGAGGUGGGUGCGAAUAUUUGGAUCCAGUGUCAGCAAAAGCAAACUUCCAGGGAAGUUUAGCACAGGCGAGAUUCCAGCCAAGAAUUGGACAAUUUAUCGAUGCUGAGAGUGAUAGGUAGACAGAUUCAUUGCAGGGCAUUCCACAGAGGUGCACUCUCUUUGUUGGGAUACAAAUGUGGCUUCGGUCAGUCAAGAGUCUGUCAGAGUGUGGUCAUUAGUCCUCUGGAAAGUGCAUUCACAAGCUC